UUUCCAGGUCGGCGCGCUGGUAGUCGAUACCGCUGUCAGCGGUAUCGGCCCGCGCGCGUUCGAGCAUGCGCUCGGAAAG
rnacentral:tRNA from 1 species